CCUGUCGGUGUAUAUGUCAUGUCUCGCCAUGUCCUGUCGGUGGUAAUCGGAACUCCCGGUACUGUUUAGGCUUAAUUGCCAAAGCAUGCAUCGAGUGUAUUUCCGUUUGCCGAUCUCUCCUACUUCGGUGCUCUUAAACGAGUGUCGAGGUAGGCCGACACGUUCACUUUGAACAAAUUAGAGUGCUUAAAGCAGGCUAAAAUCUCUGCCUGAAUAGUGGCGCAUGGAAUGAUAAAACAGGACCUCUGCUCUAUUUUAUUGGUUUUAGGAAUAUGAGGUAAUGAUCUGUGUGGACAGGCGGGGGCAUUCGUAUUGCGACGUUAGAGGUGAAAUUCUUGGAUCGUCGCAAGACGCACUAGAGCGAAAGCAUUUGCCAAGUAUGUCUUAAUUGAUCAAGAACGAAAGUUAGAGGUUCGAAGGCGAUCAUAUACCGCCCUAGUUCUAACCAUAAACGAUGCCCGCCAGCAAA
rnacentral:rRNA from 1 species